AUUGAACGCUGGCGGCAGGCCUAACACAUGCCAGUCGAGCGGAUGAAGGGAGCUUGCUCCUGGAUUCAGCUGCGGACGGGUGAGUAAUUCCUAGGAAUCUGCCUGGUAUUGGGGGAUAACGUCCGGAAACGGGCGCUAAUACCGCAUACGUCCUGAGGGUGAACGUGGGGGAUCUUCGGACCUCACGCUAUCAGAUGAGCCUAGGUCGGAUUAGCUAGUUGGUGGGGUAAAGGCCUACCAAGGCGACGAUCCGUAACUGGUCUGAGAGGAUGAUCAGUCACACUGGAACUGAGACACGGUCCAGACUCCUACGGGAGGCAGCAGUGGGGAAUAUUCGACAAUGGGCGAAAGCCUGAUGCAGCAAUGCCGCGUGUGUGAAGAAGGUCUUCGGAUUGUAAAGCACUUUAAGUUGGGAGGAAGGGAAGUAAGUUAAUACCUUGCUGUUUUGACGUUACCAACAGAAUAAGCACCGGCUAACUUCGUG
rnacentral:rRNA from 1 species